rnacentral:rRNA from 1 species
UGGGGAAUAUUGGACAAUGGGGGGAACCCUGAUCCAGCCAUGCCGCGUGUGUGAAGAAGGCCUUUUGGUUGUAAAGCACUUUAAGCGAGGAGGAGGCGCUCUAGGAUAAUACCCUAGAUGCGUGGACGUUACUCGCAGAAUAAGCACCGGCUAACUCUGUGCCAGCAGCCGCGGUAAUACAGAGGGUGCGAGCGUUAAUCGGAUUUACUGGGCGUAAAGCGCGCGUAGGUGGCUAAUUAAGUCAAAUGUGAGAUCCCCGAGCUUAACUUGGGAAUUGCAUUCGAUACUGGUUAGCUAGAGUAUGGGAGAGGAUGGUAGAAUUCCAGGUGUAGCGGUGAAAUGCGUAGAGAUCUGGAGGAAUACCGAUGGCGAAGGCAGCCAUCUGGCCUAAUACUGACACUGAGGUGCGAAAGCAUGGGGAGCAAACAGGAUUAGAUACCCUGGUAGUCCAUGCCGUAAACGAUGUCUACUAGCCGUUGGGGCCUUUGAGGCUUUAGUGGCGCAGCUAACGCGAUAAGUAGACCGCCUGGGGAGUACGGUCGCAAGACUAAAACUCAAAUGAAUUGACGGGGGUCAUAGCUGUUUCCUG